CAGCAGCCGCGGGAAAACGAAGGGUGCAAGCGUUAAUCGGAAUUACUGGGCGUAAAGCGUGCGAAGGCGGUGAGUUAAGUCUGCUGUGAAAUCCCCGGGCUCAACCUGGGAAUGGCAGUGGAUACUGGCUCGCUAGAGUGUGUCAGAGGAUGGUGGAAUUCCCGGUGUAGCAGUGAAAUGCGUAGAGAUCGGAAGGAACAUCUGUGGCGAAGGCGACUAUCUGGGCCAACACUGACACUGAGGCACGAAAGCGUGGGGAGCAAACAGGAUUAGAUACCCGGGUAGUCCCUGUCUCUUAUAC
rnacentral:rRNA from 1 species